rnacentral:rRNA from 1 species
UACGUAGGUGGCAAGCGUUAUCCGGAAUUAUUGGGCGUAAAGCGCGCGCAGGUGGUUUCUUAAGUCUGCUGUGAAAACUCGAGGCUUAACCUCGAGAUGUCGGCGGAAACCAUCUGGCUAGAGUCCGGAAGAGGAGAGUGGAAUUCCUGGUGUAGCGGUGAAAUGCGCAGAUAUCAGGAAGAACACCCGUGGCGAAGGCGGCUCUCUGGGACGGUACUGACGCUGAGACGCGAAAGCGUGGGGAGCGAACAGG